UGACUAACACCGUGAUGACUACUCGGGUGUCUGGAUGCUAAAGAAUCACUUGAAUACUACAGACUGUCCUACUACAUUAGGGUUAUARGGCUCAAACUCCCAUGAUUCCAUUCGGCAAAACCACUCCCACCGUCAACGAUGAAGUUGCAGCUCCAAAGCGUUGUUUCCUAUUAAACACAGCCCACCAAACGCUGCGGAGCUAGGACAACCGCAAGUCGCAAAUGGGCAAAAGGAGUCACUCGCACAAGAUGGAAUACCACUCUGGAAAUGGUGAAGCGUGUCCACAGAAACCAACAACCACUGUGAGAUGCUCUGGCACAGCUGAACUGGAGAAACUGCAGAAGCUGGAGGCACUACUGGAGCCCUGCAGGUACAAGACUGACUGUCUGGUAGGAGAGAAGUACAUUUCCUGCUCAGUGGUGUAGCCUGUCUUGUGCCAUUUCUCUGGGUGAUGGAGAGCUUGAUGAUGACCCUGCCUACGUGUCAGAUUC